AUUUUGCAAUGUCAGAAUAAUAACAUUCUAACUUACUAUUCACAUAAUUUAAUUGUAAUAUCCAAAAAUGCAAAAUAAAAUGUAGUAUAGUAAUUAGUAUUACAGUAGUCCCGUGAGAAUUUCGAACACUUUUUCACGCGCUCGUACCCCAUUCCCAGAAAAAUUCCGUUUUUCCCGUUUGGUUGAGAAUUUGGGAAGCAUUUUAAUAUAUGUGAAACCUUAGGAAGCAUACGUUCAACCAUUUUCCAAAGUUUCAUCGCAAUCGGAUGAACAGUUUAGGCAGGCAUAAGAAACAUACAAACAUUUAUAAGGAAGAAGAGUUUUCAACCUUACAUAAUGACCCUAAUUAAAUUGGAACCAGGUGACACAUGGUGUUUGAAAAAAACCCAUAGCUAUUACUAUCAAGUACAAGGGCAACUGCACAUAACAAAUAGAAAUAUUUGUUACUUCAUAGUAUACACCAGAGGACAUGUGGAACAAAUCGAAAGAGAUGACGUUUUUUGGACUACCAAAAUGGCGGAGAAGUUGUCUGACUUUUAUUACAACUCGCUAAUCCCGGAAUUGGUAGAUCCACGAAGAAGUAGAGGACAAGACCUGAGAACAAUUUACAUGAGUUGAGGGGGAGGUGCAACACUAUGCAUUAAUUAUUUAAUAAAGUAUUUUUUCUUAUUGUAAAUAUUUGUAUAUUUUAUAUAAAAGUAUAACAUUU